AGACUCAUCAGUUCUGGGUCAUGUGGGGUGGUUGGUUGAUUGACUUAGGAUCUGAUGGGCAUUGUUAGUCCAUGAGCUGGACUUGGUAUCACAUGCUGAUAAGGCAAAAGGAUAUGGGACAGUGCAUGAGCCGGUAAGGGCCAAUUGCAUGUCCUUAGCUGUUUGAAGACUUCUCAAAGGUUACUUGAGUCUGUGGGGAUGGUUGGCUGAAUGACUAAGUACCUAAGGGAGUUGUUUGUGUGUAAAGGAGCUGGACGCAGUAUAUGGCAGCUGUCCAUAGCUCGGUCUUAGCUCAGUUCGAGUGUGACAGCUCGAUCAGCUGGUCUAUAAG
rnacentral:lncRNA from 1 species